rnacentral:rRNA from 1 species
UACGAAGGGGGCUAGCGUUGCUCGGAAUUACUGGGCGUAAAGCGCACGUAGGCGGCUUUCUAAGUCGGGGGUGAAAUCCUGGAGCUCAACUCCAGAACUGCCUUCGAUACUGGAAAGCUCGAGUCCGGGAGAGGUGAGUGGAACUGCGAGUGUAGAGGUGAAAUUCGUAGAUAUUCGCAAGAACACCAGUGGCGAAAGGCGGCUCACUGGCC